AAUCAUUGACUGCCACGGUUCAAAGGGAUUCUGAAUCAAAUAAAGAAGUAAAGGAAGAACCACUUUAUGAAGAGUUGACUGUAUUGAGGUCUCAGUUUACUGAGAUACAAAA